rnacentral:rRNA from 1 species
CGAACGCUGGCGGCAGGCCUAAUACAUGCAAGUCGAACGGCUCUUCGGAGCAGUGGCGGACGGGUGAGUAACGCGUGGGAAUGUGCCCUUUGGUACGGAACAACACAGGGAAACUUGUGCUAAUACCGUAUGUGCCCUUCGGGGGAAAGAUUUAUCGCCAUUGGAGCAGCCCGCGUUGGAUUAGGUAGUUGGUGAGGUAAAGGCUCACCAAGCCGACGAUCCAUAGCUGGUCUGAGAGGAUGAUCAGCCACACUGGGACUGAGGCACGGCCCAGACUCCUACGGGAGGCAGCAGUAGGGAAUCUUGCGCAAUGGGCGAAAGCCUGACGCAGCCACGCCGCGUGUAUGAUGAAGGUCUUAGGAUUGUAAAAUACUUUCACCGGGGAAGAUAAUGACGGUACCCGGAGAAGAAGCCCCGGCUAACUUCGUGCCAGCCGCCGCGGUAACAC